UACGUAGGGUGCAGGCGUUAAUCGGAAUUACUGGGCGUAAAGCGUGCGCAGGCGGUUUCUUAAGUCAGAUGUGAAAGCCCCGGGCUUAACCUGGGAACUGCGUUUGAAACUGGGAGACUUGAGUGUGGCAGAGGGGGUGGAAUUCCACGUGUAGCAGUGAAAUGCGUAGAUAUGUGGAGGAACACCGAUGGCGAAGGCAGCCCCCUGGGUUAACACUGACGCUCAUGCACGAAAGCGUGGGGAGCAAACAGG
rnacentral:rRNA from 1 species